rnacentral:lncRNA from 1 species
AUCUCUCUCCUCUCUCAUUCCUCUCUCUCUCUACCCAAAACGCAGACGCACAAGCCAUGGAACGCAAGAAUUCUCUCCUCCCUCACCUCCUCACCUUUCUCUCUCUUCACCUCCUCCUCCUACUUUUCUCUCCGAUCGCCGCCGCUAAGCUCACGAACCCUCUCGGGCUCGCCAGGUCCAGCUUCCCAUCCGUGCACGCAAAGCAGCUGAUCAGAGCCUUCAAUCUCUUCCCCGAGGAAGACAUCAACAUCAUCGACGGCCCCGAUUCCUCC